rnacentral:pre_miRNA from 1 species
AUCCGAUCGGCUUGCACUGUCUGGUUAUAUUAAAGGGAAAGUGCUUCCCGUUCGGAUGA